rnacentral:misc_RNA from 1 species
CGAACCAAGUGGCUAAGCUGUGCGCGGGUUCCCCUUACGAGGUACAAAUCGUUUAAACUGCGUAACAAAGGCGUAACGCGACGAGAAUUAAGCCUUCGAAAGGUUUCUCUGAAUUUUGGUACAUAAGGAAACAAACUAUGAUAGUUUAAUCCGUUAUUCCGUUAACAGAAUUUUGUUUGUCGUGUGAAACGGUAACAAAAGGCAAUGGAAAUAUAUACAAUUGAGAAAGAUACAUCGUUAGCCCGUGGGCGAUAUCGUAUACGCGAAUCGUGUAUUCCGUUGGUGUACAGGUCCG